UAAAAAUGCAGCUUUGGUCUUAAGGAAAGUUGCUCCUGCAGAUUCUGGGGAAUACAAGUGUUUAAUUAGAGCCAAAGCUGGAGGAAUGAACUGUCAAAAUCGGGUUAGACUUAAUAUCUCAGGUUGUGUGUCAACAACUUCACCCAUCAUCUUUGAUUUCUCCACCAAAUUUAUUAAUGGAUCAUGGCCAAACAUUAGCAUCUCAUUGCCUCACGUGGAUGACGAUUCAGUGCUUUAUGUCCUGUGGGGUUGUGUAGGACUCGCUGUGAGUAAACUUAUCCUCAGUGCCGUUUCCAUAUGCGUUUUCAAGAAGCUCCGAAAACUUAAAAGAAGAAGACAGACUUAAGACCAACCACUGUUUAUCAGCACCUUGUUUGUUUGCAGAGUUUACUCGCCAUACCUUAUAUGGACAUUCCUUACAUUCUGCAAACUUGUGUAAAAGACCAUUGGAUGGUUUAGUAAUUUAACAUUUUAAUAAUUAAUCUGUGAAUUUACCUAUGAAUUAUGAUAAUCUGAGGAACUGAUACUUUAUAUCUGUUAUAUUUAUUUCCAAAAUGGCAUUGCUGUCAUAAGGGCGGGUCAUGGCAGAACAUUUUCUUAAACUUUGAAAUUAUUUUUGGAGGAACUAUGCAGAUUGAAAACUGUUCUGAUGCAUGAUCCACAUUUAAUACACUGCAAAAGAACAAAUUUCUCUUCAUUAUGGAUCUGUCUUACCAGUGUUAUUCUAGUAUUAUUUAUAUACAUUUAUAGUAUUCAGCAUUUUGUAUUUAUUUUAAUUUACUAAAGCAAAUUGUAAUAGUUUUACAAAUAUUCAAACAAAUAUGCAUUUGUGUCACUGCUUUAAAUUGGCCAGUAAUAAGGUUAAAUGACCUAUAGUUUAAGCUUUUAUAAAUGUGUUGGAUUCUCUUUGUGUGUGGGUGUUGUGUGUGAAAAUUGGUUUGCUCCAUGCAAAUUCUCAGAAAAAUAGGUAUAAUGUGCUUUUGCCCAUGAAGUGUAUUCCAGAUUAUGACUAAGAUUAAGGAUAAUAACUUAAUGCAAAGAGACAGUUUGAGACAGCCAUCAUGAAACUGUACUGAUACUCUACAGGUGCAUCUCAAUAAAUUAGAAUGUCGUGGAAAAGUUCAUUUAUUUCAGUAAUUCAACUCAAAUUGUGAAACUCGUGUAUUAAAUAAAUUCAAUGCACACAG
rnacentral:lncRNA from 1 species